rnacentral:rRNA from 1 species
UACGGGGGGGGCAAGCGUUGUUCGGAAUUACUGGGCGUAAAGGGCUCGUAGGCGGCCAACUAAGUCAGACGUGAAAUCCCUCGGCUUAACCGGGGAACUGCGCUUGACACUGGAUGGCUUGAGAUUGGGAGAGGGAUGCGGAAUUCCAGGUGUAGCGGUGAAAUGCGUAGAUAUCUGGAGGAACACCGGUGGCGAAGGCGGCAUCCUGGACCAACACUGACGCUGAGGAGCGAAAGCCAGGGGAGCAAACGGG